UUCCUACGGGGGGCAGCAGUGAGGAAUAUUGGUCAAUGGGCGAGAGCCUGAACCAGCCAAGUCGCGUGAAGGAUGACGGUCCUAUGGGUUGUAAACUUCUUUUGUCGGGGAGCAAAGCGAACCACGUGUGGUUCAUUGAGAGUACCCGAAGAAAAAGCAUCGGCUAACUCCGUGCCAGCAGCCGCGGUAAUACGGAGGAUGCGAGCGUUAUCCGGAUUUAUUGGGUUUAAAGGGUGCGCAGGCGGAGGUGCAAGUCAGCGGUCAAAUUGCGGGGCUCAACCCCGUACUGCCGUUGAAACUGCAUC
rnacentral:rRNA from 1 species